AAAUACGCAUAUCAUUUAAACAAACCUUUAAAUGACUAAUGAACAUUUAAUUUCACAAACCUUGCAGUCGAAUCCAGCUGUGAGAGCUUAUGAAGGGCGCAUUUGUAUAUUGCCUGAUUGCGUGUGCUCUGCAUGACAGUCGAUCCGUGCGAAUUGAACCCGGACAGGAGGAGAGGUCAGCUUUAGUGGAGACGCGCAAUCAACUUUAAACUCGUGAUUUCAAACUAUGCUGAUUUAUGCAUUUGCGCACUGUCAUAAUCAUGUAAUUUUUACUGCAUGCUGCAUGUAAAAUGAGUGUUACCUUGGCUUAAGUUGAAAAAAUAUGAUUCCCAAUGUACACAAACUUCCCAGAUUACCAAGUGCCCUGUUGGUUACAGUGUUUACUUUCUUUUUGUUUAUAUAUUUUAAAAUAUUUCUUUAUUUGUGAAAAAUACUGAAAUAGAAUUAUAGAAUCAGGAAGUUGUCAUCUGAAGUAUAAGUAUAUUUAUUUUACACUUUUAUUUUUAAUAUAAUUCAGAAAUGCCGGCUCCUGCAUCAGCACCUCUUGUGAAUGUAUGUCAGAGACUGACAGAAAAAAAUUAACUGUUGAAAAAGUAUUAUCCUCACAACAUAAUUAAGGUUGAACCACUAUAGUCCUUAUUUCGUUUCUGGGCCUUAGUAGUAGUUACUAAGGUAGUAGUUGCAUUGCUGUCUAAGCAGGAUCAGAAUGCUCUCGGAUUUCAUCAAAAUUAUCUUAAUUUUUGUUCUGAUGAUGAACAAAGGUCUUACGGGUUUGGAACGACAUGAGGGUGAGAAAUUAAUGACGUAAUUAAUUCUCAUUUUUGGGUGAACUAACCCUUUAAGGAGAAAUAAAGCAUAAAAUUUAUUGAGCACAUUUCUAUGAGUAUUUGCUACAUCACACAAAGAGGCAAUGAAUGUGUGCAGUUAUUCUUUUAUCUUUGUUUUCCCAGAAAGAAAACAAGUCCCGAUCGUAUCUACUCGUCAGAUGACAAGGCAGCAGAACAACCAACCAUUAAAAAAAGAAAAGCUGCAAACAAAGCGUGUUCCACCUGCACCAAAGUGUUCCACCUGCACCAAAACCUCCAGCAAUUCCAAAAUGUAACAAAAAAGGAUGCAAAAUAUCUGUUCCGGUUGUACAUGGCUCUCAAGCAGUACAGAAGGCAGCAAGAACUGCUAUCAUUAUUGCCAGAGAGGAUCAAUCUGCAGGAAACUACAGGAAUGCCCAUGAUGUUUUGUUCAGCAUGUACACUGAGCUUUAGACACAGCACAUUAAAAUCCCAGCAGAGAUGGCCACAAACCUGAAGAUCCUGCACAGCUACAUAGUGGUGAAGGUGGGAAACACAUUCUCACAUUUGCAGAAAAAUAGAAAAAAUAUUAUAAUAAAAAUGAAUGAAUGUUUUUGCAUAACAUUACAAAAUAUCAAACCAAGUGUCAUAUUACUACCGCUCAAAGGUUUGGUGUGGGUCAGUUUUUUUUUGACAAUUAUUUUUAAAAGGUAAGAAUUUUUACAUUGUCACAAAAAUUUCUGUUUCAAAUAAAUGUGGUUCUUUGGUUCUUUCUUUAUCAUGGUUUCCACAAAAAUGUUAAAGUUAAUAGCAAGAAUGUU